rnacentral:lncRNA from 1 species
GGUACCCGUCCAGGCAGCUCUAUCGGGUAGCUGCUGAGAGAUUGGUCACCGCUCAUCCACACCUUGCAGAUAGGGUCGGUUGCAGCCUGGAAUCAUGGGUGAUGGCCCUGAGGAACAAGUUCCAACAACACAGGAAAAAAGCUACAAAACUGCUUGGAGGAAAUGCUAAUUCAAAAGAAAUGCUGUCUGCCAAAGCAAAUGCAGGCACCAUCUGAAGAAGUGGCAAGCAACAAAUUGUGCCGUCUUUUUGACUGCAGCCAUCUUACUACAUAUGGAGAAACCGUUGAGUCCUUGCAAAUUCAUAACGAAAGGCUCCAGAAUAAUGCAGCCUGCCACGAUGAAGCAACAGGAAGGCCAAGGUUGCGGGCAACAGCACUGGACAGGCAUAAAGAGCUUCGCAGCCUCACCCUGUCGGAUGCUCUUUUACUGUUUCCAUUUCUUGGAACUGAGGCAUUGGAACAAGCCCUGCUCACACCUUGCCUUGUGGAGAAAGGACUUACUCUACACAUUGACGGGGAGCCCGUUUUGAGUGUGCCAUCACUUCUUGCAGGAAUGGCGUGCCUGUUUGCAUCGUUUUGGGUAUUCCAUGUGGAAUACCCAAAAAAAGGCACACAAAAUGCUCACAUUCUUUGAGCACGCGUUCCUACACCUUUCACGCAUGAAGCCGAGUGUCAAAGCUCUGGAACUUAUAAAUUUUUUUUAAUGAGUAACAUUAAUUUAGUUUCACAAUUGUAGUUUUGUAGUUUUCUUCAAGUACGUUGUGCAAGCUGGCAUUUUGGACUUCUGUGCCUUGAGAAGAGGUGAAAAAAAAGUAUGACAGACAAAUGUUAAUAUUGCAUUUUCUUGUGCAAGGCUUUUUUUUUUUCUUAAACCUUGGCCAUGUGUCGCAUGUGGAAUACGGCGUGCACUUGUACAACCAAUGUGUACAUUUUUUUAUUGCAAACAAGUUCUGUGGUAUCCCGCAAGGUGGAGGAAAGAUUAAGAAAGGGAAAAUAGACAACCACCUGUUUGUAGCAUGAAGCCACAAGAAAAUUCAUGCAGCUUUCUUAGGGAAAAAAAGCUUCUUCGUUGCCGAAAAAUUCGUCCUAGUUCGGGGUCCCGGACCAGGACGAAUUUUUCG